UACAGAGGUCCCGAGCGUUGUUCGGAUUCACUGGGCGUAAAGGGUGCGUAGGUGGUUGGGUUAAGUUUGAUGUGAAAGCUCAGGGCUUAACCCUGAAAUGGCAUUGAAUACUACUUAACUGGAGGUUUGGAGGGGGGACUGGAAUUCUUGGUGUAGCAGUGAAAUGCGUAGAUAUCAAGAGGAACACCAGUGGCGAAGGCGAGUCCCCUGGACAACACCUGACACUGAGGCACGAAAGCUAGGGGGAGCAAACAGG
rnacentral:rRNA from 1 species